GAACCAGAGUAGGGAACAAGUCUAGAAGGCAAAGAAAAUUCCGCCAAGUAAACAACAAAGAAAGGGAUUUGGGAUGAUGUCAGUUGUAUACAUUAUGUGGGCCGGUGACUGCAAGAAGCAAGGAAUGCGGAGCUAAUGCAUGCUGCUAAGGAUUGAAAGGUCUUGUGUUUAUUGGUUGUUCCUGAGACACCAGUCACAGUUGUACCUUAUUUCCAUUUUAGAAGCAAAGAAUGUGGAGCUAAUGCAUGCUGCUAAGGAUGGAAAGGUCUUGUGUUUAUUGGUUGUGCCUGAGACACAAGUCACAGUUGUACCUUAUUUCCAUUUUAGGGAGUCUAUAUACACUUGAAAGGUGAGCGUCAGAUUUAAUUUUGAAGAUGGAUGACUUUCAGAUGUUGUGAUGAAGAUUGUUGAAAGAGAUUAUCAACAUAGAACCAUUCCAUAUGAAUGUGCAAGUCAGGACUUGUACAUCACCUGAGUACCCAGAUGACUGUUAAACUAAUUGGUGAACAAGAAAAGAUGUCAGAGAGGGGAAUCCAAUACAGAUGUCAUGAUCAAGAAAAUGUACUGUUAUCAAUGAUAUGAUCAAGAAUUUGUAAACUUGUAGCGAUUUAGAAUAUCUUAUCUGUAAUAUAACUCUUCAAUACUUAAUUGUUCACACAUUAUCAUCUUAUCUGUAUAUUAAUCGCCCCCUCUUACAUAUAACCCCCUGCUGAUUGUAAUGACCUGUGUAUCGAUUCCUGAUCUUUAGGAUCUUAUAAUGUGCUCGUCAGGAGCGGAUCUUGAGUAUAUAUAUAUAUAGUGCGGCAGAAUUUUAGAAUAAGAUAGGAAGAUGGAAAUAUAGAAGACUUAGUAGAUAGAACUGUUAGAAAUAGAUAAAGUUACUUACUUACUUGGAAUAUUACCUAAUAUUUCUUGAAUUUAUAUGUACAUGUGAUUAUUUAACUUG